rnacentral:rRNA from 1 species
CAGCAGCCGCGGUAAUACGUAUGGGGCAAGCGUUGUUCGGAUUUAUUGGGCGUAAAGGGCGUGUAGGCGGCUCAUCAAGUCUGGUGUGAAAUCGACAGGCUCAACCUGUCAUAUGCGCUGGAAACUGGUGGGCUGGAGUUCUUGAGGGGAAGCUGGAAUUCCAGGUGUAGGGGUGAAAUCUGUAGAUAUCUGGAAGAACACCGGUGGCGAAGGCGAGCUUCUAUCAGAGGACUGACGCUGAGGCGCGAAAGCGUGGGGAGCAAACAGGAUUAGAUACCCUGGUAGUCCACGCUGUAAACGAUGUGCACUAGGCGUGGGGCCCGUACGGGUUCUGUGCCGUAGUUAACGUGUUAAGUGCACCGCCUGGGGAGUAUGCUCGCAAGGGUGAAACUCAAAGGAAUUGACGG